GACGAACGCUGGCGGCGUGCUUAACACAUGCAAGUCGAGCGGUAAGGCCCUUUCGGGGGUACACGAGCGGCGAACGGGUGAGUAACACGUGGGUGACCUGCCCUCAGCUCUGGGAUAAGCCUGGGAAACCGGGUCUAAGUACUGGAUAUGACUCCAUGACGCAUGUUGGUGGGGUGGAAAGCCUUGUGCGGCUGAGGAUGGGCCCGCGGCCUAUCAGCUUGUUGGUGGGGUGAUGGCCUACCAAGGCGACGACGGGUAGCCGGCCUGAGAGGGCGACCGGCCACACUGGGACUGAGA
rnacentral:rRNA from 1 species